rnacentral:misc_RNA from 1 species
GCCUCCCCCAGAACGACGGUUCCUCCCUCCACUGUACGCAGACCUGGCAGCAAAUCGUAAUAGCCAAUCAGGAACUUCUUGGUUAGAUUCGUGCAUCAGAUCAGCCAAGGAUCUUGCUAUGGAUGUAUUGUUCUCGUUAAAAAAUGCAGUUGCUAAACCAGUCUUCCCAGCUCUCCCCGUUCGUCCAAUUCUAUGAACAUAAUCAUCGAUAUCAUUAGGGAGAUCGAAGUUCACCACAUGUGCAACAUGAGGAAUGUCAAGCCCACGGGCAGCAACAUCAGUCGCCACCAAAAUUGGCGUGUUCCCACUUCUAAACGACCUCAAUGCUUGUUCUCUUUCCUGUUGUGUUCUAUCCCCAUGAAUGGUAGUGGCAGGAAAACCAUUAAGGCAUAACCAAUGUUCAAGAGCAUCGGCU